CACGUAGGGGGCAAGCGUUGUCCGGAUUUAUUGGGCGUAAAGAGCUCGUAGGCGGUUCGGUAAGUCGGGUGUGAAACCUCCAGGCUCAACCUGGAGACGCCACCCGAUACUGCUGUGACUAGAGUCCGGUAGGGGAGCGUGGAAUUCCUGGUGUAGCGGUGAAAUGCGCAGAUAUCAGGAGGAACACCGAUGGCGAAGGCAGGACUCUGGGCCGAUACUGACGCUGAGGAGCGAAAGCGUGGGGAGCAAACAGG
rnacentral:rRNA from 1 species